UACGGGGGGGGCAAGCGUUGUUCGGAAUUACUGGGCGUAGAGGGCUCGUAGGCGGCCAACUAAGUCGGAUGUGAAAUCCCCAGGCUUAACCUGGGAACUGCAUCCGAUACUGGAUGGCUUGAAUCCGGGAGAGGGAUGCAGAAUUCCAGGUGUAGCGGUGAAAUGCGUAGAUAUCUGGAGGAAUACCGGUGGCGAAGGCGGCAUCCUGGACCGGCAUUGACGCUGAUGAGCGAAAGCUAGGGGAGCAAACGGG
rnacentral:rRNA from 1 species